rnacentral:rRNA from 1 species
UACGGGGGGGGUAAGCGUUGUUCGGAAUUACUGGGCGUAAAGGGUUCGUAGGUGGCCAACUAAGUCAGACGUGAAAUCCCUCAGCUUAACUGGGGAACUGCGUCUGAUACUGAUUGGCUUGAGUGCAGGAGAGGAACGCGGAAUUCCAGGUGUAGCGGUGAAAUGCGUAGAUAUCUGGAGGAACACCGGUGGCGAAGGCGGGUCUCUGGGCCGAUACUGACGCUGAGGAGCGAAAGCGUGGGGAGCGAACAGG